GAUGAACGCUAGCUACAGGCUUAACACAUGCAAGUCGCGGGGCAGCAUGGUCUUAGCUUGCUAAGGCCGAUGGCGACCGGCGCACGGGUGAGUAACACGUAUCCAACCUGCCGUCUACUCUUGGACAGCCUUCUGAAAGGAAGAUUAAUACAAGAUGGCAUCAUGAGUCCGCAUGUUCACAUGAUUAAAGGUAUUCCGGUAGACGAUGGGGAUGCGUUCCAUUAGAUAGUAGGCGGGGUAACGGCCCACCUAGUCUUCGAUGGAUAGGGGUUCUGAGAGGAAGGUCCCCCACAUUGGAACUGAGACACGGUCCAAACUCCUACGGGAGGCAGCAGUGAGGAAUAUUGGUCAAUGGGCGAGAGCCUGAACCAGCCAAGUAGCGUGAAGGAUGACUGCCCUAUGGGUUGUAAACUUCUUUUAUAAAGGAAUAAAGUCGGGUAUGCAUACCCGUUUGCAUGUACUUUAUGAAUAAGGAUCGGCUAACUCCGUGCCAGCAGCCGCGGUAAUACGGAGGAUCCGAGCGUUAUCCGGAUUUAUUGGGUUUAAAGGGAGCGUAGAUGGAUGUUUAAGUCAGUUGUGAAAGUUUGCGGCUCAACCGUAAAAUUGCAGUUGAUACUGGAUAUCUUGAGUGCAGUUGAGGCAGGCGGAAUUCGUGGUGUAGCGGUGAAAUGCUUAGAUAUCACGAAGAACUCCGAUUGCGAAGGCAGCCUGCUAAGCUGCAACUGACAUUGAGGCUCGAAAGUGUGGGUAUCAAACAGGAUUAGAUACCCUGGUAGUCCACACGGUAAACGAUGAAUACUCGCUGUUUGCGAUAUACAGCAAGCGGCCAAGCGAAAGCGUUAAGUAUUCCACCUGGGGAGUACGCCGGCAACGGUGAAACUCAAAGGAAUUGACGGGGGCCCGCACAAGCGGAGGAACAUGUGGUUUAAUUCGAUGAUACGCGAGGAACCUUACCCGGGCUUAAAUUGCAGAUGAAUUACGGUGAAAGCCGUAAGCCGCAAGGCAUCUGUGAAGGUGCUGCAUGGUUGUCGUCAGCUCGUGCCGUGAGGUGUCGGCUUAAGUGCCAUAACGAGCGCAACCCUUGUUGUCAGUUACUAACAGGUUCCGCUGAGGACUCUGACAAGACUGCCAUCGUAAGAUGUGAGGAAGGUGGGGAUGACGUCAAAUCAGCACGGCCCUUACGUCCGGGGCUACACACGUGUUACAAUGGGGGGUACAGAGGGCCGCUACCACGCGAGUGGAUGCCAAUCCCAAAAACCUCUCUCAGUUCGGACUGGAGUCUGCAACCCGACUCCACGAAGCUGGAUUCGCUAGUAAUCGCGCAUCAGCCACGGCGCGGUGAAUACGUUCCCGGGCCU
rnacentral:rRNA from 1 species